GUCCCUGGGACAAAAGUCUUCAAACCCAUUCCAGCCUGGCUAUUCUGCGGUGUUCUCUACACAGCCUUUCCAGCGCAGGGACAGGGCCUCAAUCGUGUCCCGCAGCAUCUGUGUCCAGUCAUCUCCUCUCCGCAUUGGGGUACAGCGUGUCUCCUUGUGCUCCAGGGCCAAGAUCUCUGCGGGGGUCUCAGGAGUCAGCCCAGCCGCCUGGACUGCUUCUGGGAAUUUGACUGCUGAGGCAGGGGCCAGGCAGCACCGGGGGAUGCUACUGAGGAUGGGGCAGGACAGGAGAGAACAGGUACAAAGAUGGGGAAGGAGAAG
rnacentral:lncRNA from 1 species